rnacentral:rRNA from 1 species
CCUACGGGUGGCAGCAGUGGGGAAUAUUGGACAAUGGGGGGAACCCUGAUCCAGCGACGCCGCGUGAGUGAAGAAGUAUUUCGGUAUGUAAAGCUCUAUCAGCAGGGAAGAAAGAAAUGACGGUACCUGACUAAGAAGCCCCGGCUAACUACGUGCCAGCAGCCGCGGUAAUACGUAGGGGGCAAGCGUUAUCCGGAUUUACUGGGUGUAAAGGGAGCGUAGACGGUAAUGCAAGUCUGGAGUGAAAGGCGGGGGCCCAACCCCCGGACUGCUCUGGAAACUGUGUAACUGGAGUGCAGGAGAGGCAGGCGGAAUUCCUAGUGUAGCGGUGAAAUGCGUAGAUAUUAGGAGGAACACCAGUGGCGAAGGCGGCCUGCUGGACUGUAACUGACGUUGAGGCUCGAAAGCGUGGGGAGCAAACAGGAUUAGAUACCCGGGUAGUC